GCUGCCUUAUCCAGAUACAACUGACCCACCAAAAGGCAUACUUAACCACUAUGCCCAAUGAGGAACCUACAUCAGAGUCUCUGGGACUCUCCCUAUAGCUUGCCAAUUUGCAUAUACAGGCCAGCUUCUCCACAAGGGGCAAAAUCUGCUGUCUGAUUCACAGCAUGGCAACUGAUCUAUCAAUCAACAUCGUCUGUCAUCAAGACACGCCUGUCAGCAGCCGUCCAUCACCAAACACUACCCAUAGCUCUGCAUCAUAGACCCUCAUGUACCAGCCCUUAUUCCACAAAGGAGGAUGAAGA